CUCAUUUGCUGAUGGUUCGCCCCGCUUUUAGUACGUCGUGAUUAAGGAUAGUGAUGAGGUUACAUUCAACGUCAUUUAGAAUUUGACCCAGAUUUACAAAAGGUCGGCUGGCCCUCGGCUCUGGCUGUGUCCUGGAAGGCCAAUCCUGGCACCACGCCUAUCAUAUACCGACUUCCUCCACUGCUCCGCUAGUAGCAUUAACCUCCGUCAGGGACAAAGUCGUCGGGAGGACGGUGCCACCGCCGGGUACUAGGGAAACUGCCGCUGUAGCGGCGGUGAAUUCCGUUUCUUCACACCGGAAGGUCGACCUGAAGAAGGUGUAACAAGCACUGAGGCGGAGCGGAGAAGGUCAUGCAAAGUGCCCAGGACAACACAACUUGGUCGGGGAUUCCUGGCUGCCGCGGUACCAAAAGGAUUCAGAUGUCAAAUGGCUAGCAGAAUAAAGAUUCAUAUAAAAUAAUACUGCAGCAGGAAUUUCCAAGGCACUACCUCCAAGCAGGAGGCAGGGUCAGGUGUGAAGACAAGAGGCAUCUAGGAAAGAUGUCAAAUGGCUAGCAGAAUAAAGAUUUUCACGUUUUGCUAGAUGAUUUCAUAGCAAAUAGUCUGCAAAUAUUCUGGAAUGAAUUUCUCAUUCUAAAUAAGCCCUAUUGAGUUGAUUCAGUCUAGAUAUUCAGGAUCUCAAGUUCAAAUCUUUUCCUUAGCUUUUUGCAACAAAAGCUGAAAUUUUCAGAGGAUAAAUAUUCUCUUGAAAUACAUACCUAGUACAUGCAACUUGACAACUGGACA